rnacentral:rRNA from 1 species
CCUACGGGAGGCAGCAGUAGGGAAUUUUCCACAAUGGGCGAAAGCCUGAUGGAGCAAUACCGCGUGCAGGAUGAAGGCCUUCGGGCCGUAAACUGCUUUUAUGUGCGAAGAAUUUGACGGUAACACAUGAAUAAGGAUCGGCUAACUACGUGCCAGCAGCCGCGGUCAUACGUAGGGUCCAAGCGUUAUCCGGAAUUACUGGGCGUAAAGAGUUGCGUAGGUGGCAUUAUAAGUGGAGCGUGAAAGCGUGCGGCUCAACCGCAUUAUUGCGUUCCAAACUGUGAAGCUUGAGUAUGGGAGAGGUAGAUGGAAUUUCUAGUGUAGGAGUGAAAUCCGUAGAUAUUAGAAGGAACACCGAUGGCGUAGGCAGUCUACUGGCCCAUUACUGACACUAAGGCACGAAAGCGUGGGGAGCAAACGGGAUUAGAUACCCCGGUAGUCCACGCUGUAAACUAUGAUGCUANCUGUGACACACAUACGACUGUGUCGUAGCGAGUACGUACGUA